UACGGAGGGAGCUAGCGUUGUUCGGAAUUAUGUACGUGGGCGUAAAGCGGCACGUUAGGCGGCUUUGUAAAGUUACGGAGGUACGCAAAGCCCCGGAGACUUCGAACUCCGGAACUGCCUUUAAGGACUGCAUCGCUUGAAGUACCAGGAGAGGUGAGUGGAAGUUCCGAAGUGUAGAGGUGAAAUUCGUAGAUACUUGGAAGAACACCAGUGGCCGCAAGGCGGCUCACUGG
rnacentral:rRNA from 1 species